UACGGGGGGGUAAGCGUUGUUCGGAAUUACUGGGCGUAAAGGCUCGUAGGCGGCCAACUAAGUCAGACGUGAAAUCCCUCAGCUUAACUGGGGAACUGCGUCUGAUACUGGAUGCUUGGAUUCGGAGAGGGAUGCGGAAUUCCAGGUGUAGCGGUGAAAUGACGUAGAUAUCUGGAGGAACACCGGUGGCGAAGGCGCAUCCUGGACCGGCAUUGACGCUGAGGCGCGAAAGCCAGGGGAGCAAACGG
rnacentral:rRNA from 1 species